rnacentral:lncRNA from 1 species
AUGGACCCAGCUGCUAGGGGCUCACCUAGGGGUACCGUGGACCCAGCUGCUAGGGGCUCACCUAGGGGUACCGUGGACCCAGCUGCUAGGGGCUCACCUAGGGGUACCGUGGACCCAGCUGCUAGGGGCUCACCUAGGGGUACCGUAGACCCAGCUGCUAGGGGCUCACCUAGGGGUACCGUGGACACAGCUGCUAGGGGCUCACAAUGGGGUACCGUGGACCCAGCUGCAAGGGGCUCACAAUGGGGUACUGUGGACCCAGCUGCUAGGGGCUCACCUAGGGGUACCGUGGACCCAGCUGCUACGGGCUCACCUAGAGGUACCUUGGACCCAGCUGCUAGGGGCUCACCUAGAGGUACCGUGGACCCAAUUGCUAGGGGCUCACAAUGGGGUACCGUGGACCCAGCUGCUAGGGGCUCACAAUGGGGUACCAUGGACCCAGCUGCUAGGGGCUCACCUAGGGGUACCGUGGACCCAGCUGCUAGGGGCUCACCUAGGGGUACCGUGGACCCAGCUGCUAGGGGCUCACCUAGGGGUACCGAGGACCCAGCUGCUAGGGGCUCACCUAGGGGUACCGUAGACCCAGCUGCUAGGGGCUCACCUAGGGGUACCGUGGACACAGCUGCUAGGGGCUCACAAUGGGGUACCGUGGACCCAGCUGCAAGGGGCUCACAAUGGGCUACCGUGGACACAGCUGCUAGGGUCUCACAAUGGGGUACCGUGGAUCCAGCUGCUAGGGGCUCACCUAGAGGUACCGUGGACCCAGCUGCUAGAGGCUCACCUAGGGGUACCGUGGACCCAGCUGCUCGGGGCUCACCUAGGGGUACCGUGGAACCAGCUGCUAGCGGCUCACCUAGGGGUACCGUGGAACCAGCUGCUAGCGGCUCACCUAGGGGUACCGUGGAACCAGCUGCUAGGGGCUCACCUAGGGGUACCGUAGACCCAGCUGCUAGGGGCUCACCUAGGGGUACCGUGGAACCAGCUGCUAGGGGCUCACCUAGGGGUACCGUGGAACCAGCUGCUAAGGGCUCACCUAGGGGUACCGUGGAACCAGCUGCUAGCGGCUCACCUAGGGGUGCUGCAAUGCUGUAG